rnacentral:rRNA from 1 species
GUGCCAGCAGCCGCGGUAACACCGGCAUCUCUAGUGGUAGCCAUUUUUAUUGGGCCUAAAGCGUUCGUAGCCGGUUUGAUAAGUCUCUGGUGAAAUCCUAUAGCUUAACUGUGGGACUUGCUGGAGAUACUAUUAGACUUGAUGUCGGGAGAGGUUAGCGGUACUCCCAGGGUAGGGGGGAAAGCCUGUAAUCCUGGGAGGACCACCGGUGGCGAAGGCGGCUAACUGGAACGAACCUGACGUUGAGGGACGAAAGCCAGGGGCGCGAACCGGUUUAGUUCCCCGGGUAUUCCUGGCCGUA